rnacentral:rRNA from 3 species
UGAACGACUCUCGGCAACGGAUAUCUCGGCUCUCGCAUCGAUGAAGAACGUAGCGAAAUGCGAUACUUGGUGUGAAUUGCAGAAUCCCGUGAACCAUUGAGUUUUUGAACGCAAGUUGCGCCCGAGGCCAUUCGGUCGAGGGCACGUCUGCCUGGGCGUCACGC